rnacentral:rRNA from 1 species
GACGAACCGCCCGAACGUUGUUCGGAAUCACUGGGCUUAAAGGGAGCGUAGGCGGGCUGCCAAGUCCGGGGUGAAAUCCUCCAGCUUAACUGGAGAACUGCCUCGGAUACUGGAAGUCUCGAGGAGGGUAGGGGCAAGUGGAACCGUGGGUGGAGCGGUGAAAUGCGUUGAUAUCCAUGGGAACUCCGGUGGCGAAGGCGACUUGGCUGGACCCUUUCUGACGCUGAGGCUCGAAAGCCAGGGGAGCAAACGGG